GAUGAACGCUAGCGGCAGGCCUAAUACAUGCAAGUCGAGGGGUAGAACACUUCGGUGUUUGAGACCGGCGCACGGGUGCGUAACGCGUAUGCAAUCUACCUUGUACAGGGGAAUAGCCCAGAGAAAUUUGGAUUAAUGCCCCAUAGUAUAUAACCUUCGCAUGUUGGUUAUAUUAAAGUUCCAACGGUACAAGAUGAGCAUGCGUCCCAUUAGUUAGUUGGUAAGGUAACGGCUUACCAAGACGAUGAUGGGUAGGGGUUCUGAGAGGGAGAUCCCCCACACUGGUACUGAGACACGGACCAGACUCCUACGGGAGGCAGCAGUGAGGAAUAUUGGUCAAUGGGCGCAAGCCUGAACCAGCCAUGCCGCGUGCAGGAAGACGGUCCUAUGGAUUGUAAACUGCUUUUAUACAGGAAGAAACAACUCUACGUGUAGAGUCUUGACGGUACUGUAGGAAUAAGGAUCGGCUAACUCCGUGCCAGCCGCCGCAGUAA
rnacentral:rRNA from 1 species